CCCUUAGAUGUUCUGGGCCGCACGCGUGCUACACUGAGUGGAUCAGCGGGUCAGGUUGCGCGAAAGCGUUUCCUAAUCUUUAAAUCCGCUCGUGAUGGGGAUUGACGGUUGCAAUUUUCUGUCAUGAACGAGGAAUACCUUGUAAGCGCGGGUCAUCAUCCCGCGCUGAAUACGUCCCUGCCCUUUGUACAUACCGCCCGUCGCUCCUACCGAUUGAGUGGUCCGGUGAGGCUUUGGGAUCUGAGCGGAAAGAGCGUUUCGCUGUUUCUGCUCGGAAAACUCAGUCGAACCUUAUCAUUUAGAGGAAGGAGAAGUCGCAACA
rnacentral:rRNA from 1 species